rnacentral:lncRNA from 1 species
UUUAAUAUUUGAGAGAGUGAGAAGCCAGCAAAGCCUAUGGCCGCCCAUGCCCCAUCAUUCUUUGGGAUGCAUCUUUAUCUUCAGCAAGUAAUGACACCCAUUCUUCUGUUAAGCUCACCUGGGGAACUUAUCAGCAGUUGCUGAAACAGAAAUGCUGGCAGAAUGGCCGAGUACCCAAGCCUGAAUCGGGUUGUACUGAAAUACAUCAUCAUGAGUGGUCCAAGAUGGCACUCUUUGAUUUUUUGUUACAGAUUUAUAAUCGCUUAGAUACAAAUUGCUGUGGAUUCAGACCUCGCAAGGAAGAUGCCUGUGUACAGAAUGGAUUGAGGCCAAAAUGUGAUGACCAAGGUUCUGCGGCUCUAGCACACAUUAUCCAGCGAAAGCAUGACCCAAGGCAUUUGGUUUUUAUAGACAACAAGGGUUUCUUUGACAGGAGUGAAGAUAACUUAAACUUCAAAUUGUUAGAAGGCAUCAAAGAGUUUCCAGCUUCUGCAGUUUCUGUUUUGAAGAGCCAGCACUUACGGCAGAAACUUCUUCAGUCUCUGUUU